UACGUAGGGGGCAAGCGUUGUUCGGAUUUACUGGGCGUAAAGGGCGCGUAGGCGGCAAUUCAAGUCAUCUGUGAAAUCUCCGGGCUUAACUCGGAACGGUCAGAUGAUACUGCUUUGCUAGAGUGCAGAAGGGGCAAUCGGAAUUCUUGGUGUAGCGGUGAAAUGCGUAGAUAUCAAGAGGAACACCUGAGGUGAAGACGGGUUGCUGGGCUGACACUGACGCUGGAGGCGCGAAAGCCAGGGGAGCAAACGGG
rnacentral:rRNA from 1 species